CUUCUACAGCUCCUCUGGCUACAACUACAGCUGCACUUACAACAAUUACAGCCUCUUUUACGACAACUUCAGCUGCUCCAAUCACCAAUACCGCUGGUCUGACCUCAUCUACAACUGUGGAGCGAUCAGUGCUAAGGGUGCUGACUUUUAGGUCUCCUGGAGAGACCUUUACAAUUGAUUUGCUCAACCCAUCUUCAACAGCAUUCGUAAACCGAGCCGCACUUUUAAAGUCUAAGCUUGAACCUUUAUACAGUGGAUCAUUUUCUUCAUUCCGCGAAUUAACAGUGAUUUCAUUCAGCAAUGGGUCAAUCAUCAACAACAUGAUUCUCCGAUUUGCAUCUACAUCUGUUCCUAAUGGCUCCCAAAUUGCACAAGUUUUGAUCAACGCAGCUUCAGACAUCACUGCCUUCACCAUUGACACCACUAGUCUUUCGGUGGAUGGAUCACAAGCAUCAAGUGGAGUGAGCCACAAGAUCAGUGUCAUCACAGCCUUCUGCAUGGUUUUGUUGUCCUGGUUGUUGUCCAGCCAGCACUAACAUCUCUGUUGAUUUCUAGUGGAUAUUGUGUAUAAAAAAGGU